ensembl:lincRNA linc-85 ncRNA
CUCCGCCUCCACCAGUCCGGAGAACACGUACCGCGUCGGCCCCGGUUCAGGCUCUUGUUCGUCCAAAACGAAAUGCGUCAUCUACGACACCAGUUGCAACGUCAUCGGCUGGAAUUUCGCAAGGAGGCCUGAGUUCCCCAACUGCUCCAAUGAUGAAUGUCCCUGCAAGCAGCGCAAUGACAUCUUCAUCGAAUUGCUCGACCGUUGUUCCGCUCUCUUCUGCCAGUUCUAACUCUUCUACGUCUGGUCAUCGUGCCCACGAUUGCGUGCCACGCGCAGUUUUCGAUGCUCUUCUCGCGGAAAACGCAGGCUUGAAAUCGCAACUUCUGGAAAUCAAGAAGAUUCUCAACUAAUUCAUUAGAUUAUCGUAUGUACCCUUUCUAUAAAGUCAAUAGAGAGAGUAUUGAAAAUGUCCUGUCAUCUUUUUUUCAAAUGAAUUCUCAUCCAUC